CAGUCGCCGCGGGAAUACGUAGGGUGCGAGCGUUAAUCGGAAUUACUGGGCGUAAAGCGUGCGCAGGCGGUUUUGUAAGACAGGCGUGAAAUCCCCGGGCUCAACCUGGGAAUGGCGCUUGUGACUGCAAAGCUAGAGUGCGGCAGAGGGGGAUGGAAUUCCGCGUGUAGCAGUGAAAUGCGUAGAUAUGCGGAGGAACACCGAUGGCGAAGGCAAUCCCCUGAGCCUGCACUGACGCUCAUGCACGAAAGCGUGGGGAGCAAACAGGAUUAGAUACCCCCGUAGUCCCUGUCUCUUAUAC
rnacentral:rRNA from 1 species